UUGGAGGGCAGUCUGGUGCCAGCAGCCGCGGUAAUUCCAGCUCCAAUAGCGUAUAUUAAAGUUGUUGCAGUUAAAAAGCUCGUAGUUGAAUUUCGGGAUCAGAUUGUCGGUCGUGCCUCGGUACGCACUGGCAUUAUUGGUUCCUACCUUCUGAAGAACCGCGAUGUCAUUAAUUUGGUGUCGUGGGGAAUCAGGACUGUUACUUUGAAAAAAUUAGAGUGUUUAAAGCAGGCGCACGCUUGAAUACAUUAGCAUGGAAUAAUGAAAUAGGACGUUUGAUUCUAUUUUGUUGGUUUCUAGGAUCGACGUAAUGAUUAAUAGGGAUAGUUGGGGGCAUUAGUAUUCAAUUGUCAGAGGUGAAAUUCUUGGAUUUAUUGAAGACUAACUACUGCGAAAGCAUUUGCCAAGGAUGUUUUCAUUAAUCAAGAACGAAAGUUAGGGGAUCGAAGACGAUCAGAUACCGUCGUAGUCUUAACCAUAAACUAUGCCGACUAGGGAUCGGAUGAUGUUAAUUUUUUAAUGACUCAUUCGGCGCCUUACGGGAAAC
rnacentral:rRNA from 1 species